rnacentral:tRNA from 1 species
GCCGAGAUAGCUCAGGGGUAGAGCAACUGAUUCGUAAUCAGUAGGUCGGGGGUUCAAUUCCCCCUCUCGGCU